UACCACAUGGUAGAAAUAAGACCGAUAAAGGAAGGGGCUAGUACCAGCAACCUGGGAACGUCCUUUAGGUAAUAAGAAA
ncrna:unclassified sequences RT-18 RNA